AAGUCGUAACAAGGUUUCCGUAGGUGAACCUGCGGAAGGAUCAUUAACUAAUUGGGCGCGCCGCAAGGCGUGCUUAGGGACCGCAAGGUCCCACCAGGAACCGCAAGGUUCCUUUAUCAUUGUGAACCAGGGUGGGUUAACAUGUUAACAUGUCAGGCAAGCAGUUAAAUUGUAUGUUGCUGUGGCUGUUGUCUUGCAACACACUUCAGCUGCACUGUAACUCUGACCUCGUCAACUACCUGCCCCUCUUUAAUAGUAUUCAUGUUUAUGUCUGUCUAUGUGUAUCAAUAUAUUAUCAGUACACUUUCAACAGUGGAUCUCUCGGCUCUU
rnacentral:misc_RNA from 1 species